rnacentral:rRNA from 1 species
UACAGAGGUCCCAAGCGUUGUUCGGAUUCACUGGGCGUAAAGGGUGCGUAGGUGGUGAGGUAAGUCGGAUGUGAAAGCUCGGAGCUCAACUCCGAAAUGGCAUUGGAAACUACCUCGCUAGAGGAUCGGAGGGGAGACUGGAAUUCUCGGUGUAGCAGUGAAAUGCGUAGAUAUCGAGAGGAACACCAGUGGCGAAGGCGAGUCUCUGGACGAUUCCUGACGCUGAGGCGCGAAAGCGUGGGGAGCAAACAGG